rnacentral:rRNA from 1 species
GACGAACGCUGGCGGCGUGCUUAACACAUGCAAGUCGAACGGUGAAGCUCCAGCUUGCUGGAGUGGAUCAGUGGCGAACGGGUGAGUAACACGUGAGCAACCUGCCCCUGACUCUGGAAUAAGCGCUGGAAACGGCGUCUAAUACUGGAUACGAGAAGGGCCCGCAUGGGCACUUUCUGGAAAGUUUUUCGGUUGGGAUGGGCUCGCGGCCUAUCAGCUUGUUGGUGAGGUAAUGGCUCACCAAGGCGACGACGGGUAGCCGGCCUGAGAGGGCGACCGGCCACACUGGGACUGAGACACGGCCCAGACUCCUACGGGAGGCAGCAGUGGGGAAUAUUGCACAAUGGGCGAAAGCCUGAUGCAGCGACGCCGCGUGAGGGAUGACGGCCUUCGGGUUGUAAACCUCUUUCAGCAGGGAAGAAGCGAAAGUGACGGUACCUGCAGAAGAAGCACCGGCUAACUACGUG